CAAGUGCUCAGAUCUCCUUCAGCAGUCCAUCUUGGGUGAAAAUGUUUGCUCCCAUCAGCAAGAUUUAGCAUGGUUUCAAUUCCAUGUUUGAAAAUCAUCUUUACAACUCGCCUGCAACAUGCAAUCAGCUCCUCCUUUCUAGUCACGUUUGCUCAUGAAUAUUUUCUGUGGUCAUCUAUCCAUACUGAAGGGCUAUGCACUUACCUGCCACGAUACUUCAGUGUUUGUUGGGAAUCGAAGCCAAGUCUUGGAGAUGGUGCUGCCAGAUUCUCUGAGGAGACUGAGAAUAUGUGGUCCCAGCAGCAAAAAGAGAUGGAAUGAGAGUAGAAGAGUGGGAGUGAUCAACCUGUUCCUCCUCUACUCUCUGCUCCUCCUUACCCUCCCUGCCAGUUCUGCCUGUGCUCUUUUUACAAUGGAUCAGGUGGGUGGCAGCUGGGGCUUCAUAUCCAGGGAUUUAUAGUUAUGGCUGUUAUGGGGUAUAUUCCAAGACAGUGCUCUCUCCAGAGUUUAAGGGGAAGUGACCAGGAAUAUACUGAAAUUUUAUGUCACUCGCUUAGGGAGGCCUGGAACCUGACACCAGCACUGCAGGAAGGGAUGUAGAGAGAAAAGCAAUCGAAUAUGAGUAGAGAACAGAGG
rnacentral:lncRNA from 1 species